rnacentral:rRNA from 1 species
GUAGGUGGCAAGCGUUGUCCGGAAUUAUUGGGCGUAAAGCGCGCGCAGGUGGUUCUUUAAGUCUGAUGUGAAAGCCCCCCGGCUCAACCGGGGAGGGUCAUUGGAAACUGGGGAACUUGAGUGCAGGAGAGGAAAGUGGAAUUCCACGUGUAGCGGUGAAAUGCGUAGAUAUGUGGAGGAACACCAGUGGCGAAGGCGACUUUCUGGCCUGUAACUGACACUGAGGCGCGAAAGCGUGGGGAGCAAACAGGGAUUAGAUACCCUGGUAGUCCACGCCGUAAACGAUGAGUGCUAAGUGUUGGGGGGGUUUCCCGCCCCUCAGUGCUGCAGCUAACGCAUUAAGCACUCCGCCUGGGGAGUACGGUCGCAAGACUG